CGAGUGGCGGACGGGUGAGUAAUGUCUGGGAAACUGCCUGAUGGAGGGGGAUAACUACUGGAAACGGUAGCUAAUACCGCAUAACGUCGCAAGACCAAAGAGGGGGACCUUCGGGCCUCUUGCCAUCGGAUGUGCCCAGAUGGAAUUAGCUAGUAGGUGGGGUAACGGCUCACCUAGGCGACGAUCCCUAGCUGGUCUGAGAGGAUGACCAGCCACACUGGAACUGAGACACGGUCCAGACUCCUACGGGAGGCAGCAUG
rnacentral:rRNA from 1 species